AUUGAACGCUGGCGGCAUGCCUUACACAUGCAAGUCGAACGGCAGCACGGGAGCAAUCCUGGUGGCGAGUGGCGAACGGGUGAGUAAUAUAUCGGAACGUGCCCGGUCGUGGGGGAUAACGUAGCGAAAGCUACGCUAAUACCGCAUACGAUCUACGGAUGAAAGCGGGGGAUCGCAAGACCUCGCGCGAUUGGAGCGGCCGAUAUCAGAUUAGGUAGUUGGUGAGGUAAAGGCUCACCAAGCCGACGAUCUGUAGCUGGUCUGAGAGGACGACCAGCCACACUGGGACUGAGACACGGCCCAGACUCCUACGGGAGGCAGCAGUGGGGGAAUUUUUGGACAAUGGCGCAAGCCUGAUCCAGCAAUGCCGCGUGCAGGAUGAAGGCCUUCGGGUU
rnacentral:rRNA from 1 species